UGGGGAAUUUUGGACAAUGGGGGAAACCCUGAUCCAGCCAUCCCGCGUGUGCGAUGAAGGCCUUCGGGUUGUAAAGCACUUUUGGCAGGAAAGAAACGUCGCGGGUUAAUACCCCGCGAAACUGACGGUACCUGCAGAAUAAGCACCGGCUAACUACGUGCCAGCAGCCGCGGUAAUACGUAGGGUGCAAGCGUUAAUCGGAAUUACUGGGCGUAAAGCGUGCGCAGGCGGUUCGGAAAGAAAGAUGUGAAAUCCCAGAGCUUAACUUUGGAACUGCAUUUUUAACUACCGGGCUAGAGUGUGUCAGAGGGAGGUGGAAUUCCGCGUGUAGCAGUGAAAUGCGUAGAUAUGCGGAGGAACACCGAUGGCGAAGGCAGCCUCCUGGGAUAACACUGACGCUCAUGCACGAAAGCGUGGGGAGCAAACAGGAUUAGAUACCCUGGUAGUCCACGCCCUAAACGAUGUCAACUAGCUGUUGGGGGCCUUUCGGGCCUUGGUAGCGCAGCUAACGCGUGAAGUUGACCGCCUGGGGGAGUACGGUCGCAAGAUUAAAACUCAAA
rnacentral:rRNA from 1 species